rnacentral:lncRNA from 1 species
UGAAAUUAUGCAUAGGUAAUAUGUCCAGUCCUCUCGCUAUUAAUUCAAUCGUUUUUGCGAAAUCCAAAAAUUUCAAAAUAUGGUCUGGUUUAUCUCUCUAGACAAAAGCAUCCUUUAGCAUAUUCCUUGAUAAGAUUUUAUUUUUGUUUUCUGACAGAUAUGGUAUAAUUUUCAAUGAGACAACUCUUAACAAGAAACAAACAUGCCACAGAAAUUAACAACUAUAGGUCACGGUCUUCAACAAUGAGCAAUGCCCAUACCGCAUAGUCAACUAUAAAAACUGAACUUAAAAAUAUUUAGGAGCCUCCCAAUUUUAUUCAAUUGUAAUCAUUGAUCAGAAUAAAAGUUUGAUUUUAUGAAUAAAUGUGAAAUUCUAAAAAGUGAUUACUGAAACGUGAAUAGAAGGAUUUAAAGCCAAAGGAGAAUGGUAAUGAAAUAGCAGCCAACCAAAC